GGUUUUGAAUCAUUUACAUGUAAUUUUUUUUUUUUUUUUGUUCAACUGCUGCAGUCAGAAAUGAGGAAUUGUGCAAAUUUCCAUUUGGAUUUCAUGAUCCUUAAAAUACAUUUAGGUUGUAUUAGUAUAUAAUGAAAUAAGGCCUCCUCAUUUUUUUUUUUAAUCUCACUUUUUAAAAGACCAAUCAUUAUUUGGGACUUUAUUUUGUUUUUUGGAUUUUAUGUGUGUUGCCAAAGCCAGUAAAUUUCACAAGAUUUGUCCUUGCACAAUAAGCAGCCGAUCUGCAUGUGUUAUAAUCCACAUAACUCACAUUUUACAUAAAUACACUAUUGCACUGAAACAAACAUGAUAUGCAGUGCAUAAUAUGGGCCUGAUCUAAAGGCCAUUAAAAUCAAUGAAAAGAUUUCAAAUUAACUUUUAUAGCCUUUAGAUCAGACUCUAAAUGGGCAAAUUACAGUUAUGGAGUUUCCCAUUUACAUACCUGUGUGCUGCAUUUAAUGUAUUUUAUGGAAUUGAAAUUACUUGGUCCUCUUUUUCAUGCUUUUUUAGGCUAAGAAUUUGCCAAGGGCAUCAACAGCAGUUUUCCCAGGCUCCAGCACAAGGAUUAUGUAGUCAAUCCACAAAUGACUCAAAUCUUUGAAGAAAAGGGCAUGGUUAUCAGAGAGGCUUUGAGGACAGCAAGGACGGGAGUGCUAUCUGCCUUUUUCCAUCAGAGAUUCCCAUUCCCUCUCAUUAACAUCCUCAGGACAUCAGCACAGCCCGAGGGAAUUGCUUCCAACUUUUAAGGGGAUGUGCACAAGACCUCGCCCCUGCGUUGUUUCAGACAGAUCAAACCAGAUUUGCCUCGUGUAAGGGUUCUUCAAUCCCACUGAGGAUGUGAUGUGAAAGCACACAGACUUUGUGUGGGGAAAGGAGAUGCCUCUACCUGCUCCCUCCCAGUGCCCUGUAAUAAUGAAAAAUGCUUUUGGAGCAACACUGGAAAUAAGCCAUCAAAAUAUCUGAUUAAACCUCUUAGGAAACUCUCACUAAUCACCUCUCUGCUCUUGAUGGAAUGUAUUUAUGCAUUAUAAAUACACUUACUAUGUGUGUGUGCUCCAUAAAUCACACCCAGCACUUGUAUAUGAUGUAUAAGCACAUUCUAUAGAACACACACAAAUACAGAUGCCAGGCUCCCACAGAGUUCAUCACUGGAAAAUGUUUGAAGGAUCUGAUCCUUAAUAUUUAAUGAGAAAGAUGCUAUUUCCUUCCUCAGCUUUUAUCUCUGGUUUGGCACAGUCAUUAAAUUUGUUGUUUCCUUGCAAGAUUAUAUAAUUUAUGACCUAAUUUUAGACUUUUGUGUAAUGGCGUUGAAACACUCGUGGCAUAUCCUGAUUUCUUCACACGGAGUGUUCCAGCCUCAGCCACCAGCUCCAACACGACUUCUGUGAGCUGCCUGUCAGCCAGGAGUCGCAGGCAUGAGAGAAAAACAACCCAACAAUAUUCAGGCAGCAUUAGAAGAUUAGUUUGUGGGGGUUUGCCCUGCAAAAAAUAUGGUUUAGCAGCAUUUCCAAAGCCUUCUGCAGUGCUGGCAGGAAUCCCCAGGUAAGACAGGCAGCACCCAGCAACUUUAUUAGUGAAAAUAUUUUCAUGCUUCUGACUUUCAGACUCCUCUGGGACAGCAGUGCAGGAGGGGUGUCUAGAGGUGCUUUAAAGCCACUGCCAGCCCCUCACCCUCUGGAAUUUCCUCCCAGCACCAGCCUGGCUUCUGGGCUGUUUUUUUUGCUGCACAAGGUGUUGCUGAAUAACUCCAAAAGGAAUUAUUCUAAAGUUGCAGCCACAUUUUUUGGGUGUUUGCUGUGUGUCCAGAGUAAUUCAGAGAUGCUGCAAAUAGUGCCAUGAACUUCAGGUAUUCUGUCAAUUUUACCCAUAUUGUUGGGACCAGUCUUUCAUAAACUUUAAUAUAUUAGCUGUUGCAUUAAUGCACUUUGAGAGGAUUUUAUCCUGGCGUUCCAUAGGGAAGUGGCUUGUGGUUGAGGAAGGAUUUGAUGUUUUGUUGUUGUGCCUGCAGUGCUAUUUGGAGGAGUUUUCCUCUUUUUCCCCCUUAUCCUGAAUAUCCAACAGGGAUGGAAGUGUUGGGGUGCUGCAUCCUGAGAUCAGCACAGGAACACAAGGGACACCCCUCUACCACAACAACUUCAUGUACAGGGUGAGGGGGUGCCUACAUAAAAGAAAAAGCAUCCUCAUGAAAAGGGGACAUCAGUUCUUGGAUUAAAUAAAAUUGGAAAGUUUGUCUUCUUGGUUUUAAUGGAGCAGUUCCAGGAAAGCAGCAGAGAACAAAGUGUUUUCAGAAUCACAUAAUUCAAGAGUAAAAUCUUAAUUCCAAUUACCAUUGCAGGCACUUCUGGCCUUUGGAAACCUAUGCUAAUAUUUAUUAUUAUCUGAUUGACCUCUGAUUUCUUCAUCAUUUACAUUAGCAACCCUGAUAUUCUUAGUAACAUCCUUUAAAUCAUAGAAGCAGGUGGCAACAGUGCACGAUGAAGUCACAUCCUGCAGAUUUUUUAUUUACUUAGUCUGUUUUUUCCUGGUUAAAUAACAUUGUGAGAUGCAGAAUCUCACCUCCACGAAGUCUCUAGGGGUGUAUAUAAUCAUGGAAUGCAUCUUCUAUAAUCUCACAAAAUCAGUCAAUCCUAUCAGAUGUACAAAGAGUUUUACAAAGUCAGUAUUUCACUCCCAUCACUGCCUGACAUUGUUUUCCACACAGCACAAGAAAAUAUUUACUUGACUCUUUGACAUGAAUUGCCACAAAGCCUUUGGAACAAAAACCAAAAAGUAAGAAUUAAAAUGGAGUAACUUGACUUAAUGAAUUUAGCCUAUUUUCUGUGUGCUGCGUUUAGAUGUCAGAAGAUUUCUUAUAAUGUUUGGGAUGGACAUGGACACCUCCAAUCCCUGUUCUUCAGCGAGGUUCCUACACACAGAACACAGAGCUGCCCAGAAUAUACAAAACUGGAAGCUGAUCCUCUUCUCAAUCUUCUAAAUAUUUUCUUUGCAUAAGAGCAUUUCUCUGGAUGAAUUAAGACACUGCAGUAAUUUUCCAGGUGUAGGUGAGGUGCCAAGGGCUGCCUGGGGCUUUUCACUGCAGAGUUGAUAAAAUUGCAUUUAUCCACAAAGAGACUGAAUUUUUUUUCACAUUGUUAUGGGAUGAGUCGAAAAGUUUAAAUUCUCUGUCUCCCAUAUCCAGUGCUCAUCUUCCUGCCUUGGUGCUCCUCCUUGCAGAGAGCACAGCCAGGGGUUUUCAGCAUCUCCUCGGGAAAUGUUCCCCAUCUGUGGAGCUGGAAAAGUGGCACCCACCCGGGGAGGGCUGUCCUUGAUCAUCCUUGCCUCUCAUGCCUCAUUUUUUAAACUGAAAUUUAAUAUAUUAGCUAUUGCAUUAAUGCACUUUGAGAGGAUUUUAUCCUGGCGUUCCAUAGGGAAGUGGCUUGUGGUUGAGGAAGGAUUUGAUGUUUUGUUGUUGUGCCUGCAGUGCUAUUUGGAGGAGUUUUCCUCUUUUUCCACCUUAUCCUGAAUAUCCAACAGGGAUGGAAGAGUUGGGGUGCUGCAUCCUAUUAGAUUCAGCAGAAUUUAGAUUCAGAAGAAAUUCAAUUCUUCUGAACUUACAUUGCCUUAAAGGGUUUGCCUUGACUCAGCAGGUGACAGGAUUUGGGAUGUUCCGGCUGGAUUUUGCAUCGCUUGGGAGAGAUUUCGAAGGUUUUUUGUGAGCCUUUUCCCUUCUCUGGACACGUAGCCCUAAAACACCCUCUGAUUUCUGGGUGUCAGUGAGGGAAAGGGGUCAGAGCAGUCCCAGAUGCUGCUCCUGGAAGCUGUCAGUGUGCAGAAAGCAUCAGCAGCAGCUGUAAAACACCAGUCCCAGCACCAGGCACCUGCAGGGAAACUCCUCGGGUGAAAUUCCCCUCGGCUGCAAUCAGGAUUUUUCCUGCUCUUAGGGCAAUCUGCCUGCUCCUGGCUGAAGAGGCACUUCUAAUCGACUGCUGAGAGACUUAUUAGCAAUGUAAAAAAGAAUUGGAAGCAAGGAAAGUAUUCUUCCUGGCACAAAUGUGCUUUGUAAAAUUAGUUUUGCUGACAGGAGUAAUUGGGUUAAACUCCUCGCGACUGUGGGUGCUAUUUGUUGCCCCUUAUCUUACCCAAGCAAAGGGUACCAAACUCUUUGAACUUUGCAAAUAAUUGUUUUCGAAGUGCUGGAUUUUUUUUUUUUCUCUCUAUAAAUUCUGUAGAGAAAAGCUAGUUUCUAAUCCUUUCUCUGCCAAUGCUAUUUCAGCCUUUCCCCGCUCUUGAUUUCUUUCCCCUCUUUAGAUUUUAAUAUUUCUUAGAUAUUACAAAAACCUCUUUUAAGGGGCAGUGCAGAGCUUUUGCUCAGAUUGGGAAAAUCAUUCCUAGAGCUUUAACAAACAAGAGAUAGAGAGAGAAAAAAUAUCAAAUAGAAGAACUUUACUGUUGCAGAUGUUGGGCCGUGGUGUGAUGUGGUGUCCAGAGCCUGCCCAGUGCCCAGUACAGGCUCCUGGACUUCAGUCUAGAUUUUUCUCACUCCAAAGAAAACCCCGAAACAAAUCUCUGAAGGCACCUUCCAGCAGAGCCUGAGUGGGAUUGUUUGUGCCCUGUGCCAUCCAUCCCUGGGCUGUGCUGGUGCCCAGGAGGAGCUGUUGGGGCGGGCGCCGGGCGAGCCGCGCUGGCACCGCUCCCUCCGCACGGGCGAUUCUGCUCUGACAGUUUUUGGCUCCUUUGGGUUCCUCCAGAGCUGCACCGAAUAAAUAAUGCCCUGCACUGGGCUGACAGGGAACUCGAGUGCAGACUGCAAGGAGGGAUCCUCUCCCUGCAUCACUUUCUUUUGUGCUGCUCUGAAAUCAUUUUCCUUGCUCCUGCAGCUCCUGUAAAGCCAGAAGAGCUCUCUCUAUAUUUGUUUCUAGGAUGCCUUUUUCUCCUCUGCUUACAACUCUAAAAGCAGCUUUUCAUGCUCCAAAUCAGAGAUAAAUGGAAAUCGCUGCUGAAGAAAUAAAACACAAGGCUAAUCAAAUUGUGGCACGGGAAGCAGCCUUCAGCCAGUGCACUUUUGAGAGCUAUUUUUAGACUACAUUUUUAUUUUGUCACUCCAUAUGGGAAGUCAAACCCAUAUGGUUUGGGAGAAUGGAAGGUUGUGCUUUUAUAGUGCUCUCACAAACUAUCCCAGCUCAGCUUUGUCCUUAAAUUCGUGCUUAAAUCCAAUUAUCUGAGGUGGGACUGGAGGUUGUACCAGCACAAUUCCCUCCUGAAGUGUAAAACUAUUCUACAUCUGUUAAACCAGUCUCCAGUUAACUCAGCUCUUCUUACUUACAACUUUUCUCAUUCUUACACCUUCCUUUUUUCCUUUUUCAUUUCUUCAUCUCUGCUCCAAAGUUCUGAUGCCCUGCUGGAUGUGUUUGGUCCAGUACCAGCCAGGAUGCAAAGCUGAGCAUCCACAGCCAUCACUCUCCUGCUCUUCGCAGCAGAUGUUGUCGUCUUCCAAAUAUCCAGAUUUCAUUGAUAAUGGAAAUUUUGGGGAAUGGGACUUUAUUCUGCCCACAACACCUUGGCAAAUUCUGAGUAUGCUGAUGGAGCAAUAAUUAGCUAGUAAAGGUAUUUUCCUUCUGUCACCCUAAAUGUAUAAAAUUGGAAAUGUGUCCUCAGUGUUCAUCCACCAGAAUUUAUUUAUUAAUUGUUAAAACUUUUUCAUUAUACUGAGCCAAAACUUUUGUGUCUUUUAGGGAUUUUUGUGGCAUGGUUAAAAACAUCGACAGGAAUUUUCUAACGUGGUAAAUUUCAGAGGAUCAUUUUAUGAGUUUUUCAAUUGUAAUCCUGGAGUUUCUUCCCUUUUCAGUUUUUCAAAAGGUGGAAUUAAACAAACCCAAAUGACAGGAAGAUGCAACUGAAAGCUUUUCUAGGUAAAAUAGUGAGAAGAGGCUCAGAAAUGUGGGUGAUUUGGUUUAGUGGAAUGGUGGAAUUGGGCUGAAGGUUGGAGUGGAUGAUCUUGGAGGUCUUUUCCAAACUUAGUGAUUUUGUGAUUUUCUUGUGUGGAUUACAGAGGCUCAGGGUAGCAAAUAGCCCAUGGAGUUGCUCUGACUUAGGGAAAAGCCCUUUUCUACGUUAAUUUUGAUUCCAGAGUUGUAUUUAACCUCAGUGUAGAAGCAGAGCUAAGGAAAGAGCAGUGCAUUGGCAGUUAAUAUUUUAUGCCUUUUUUUCUUCCUUAGGAAACAAUUCUCCGUUUUUGAGGGGAUAAAGUGCAAUGGGCAUAGAAGAAUUCUCAGUGGAGAAUUCCUUGUGGCAGAAGGAUGAGCAGCAUGGAGAUUUCUGAGAUGGUUUGGAUGUCACCUCCAUCAAGUAGAAGGAAUGUUAUGCUGAAACUGUUCAUCAAAUCUGAGACCUCACGGAUGAUUUUGUUGGAAAGUCACGAAAACAACCACUGAUUUUUUUUUCCCCAGGGCAGAGAUUUUGUGUUAAAGGAGAAAAUGAGAAAACAACCAGGCUCCAAAAGAGGGAAAAAGGGAAAACCUGAAAUUAGAGCAGAGGAAAGGUAUCAAAAUUUGUAAAAGAAAUUUGAUAAAGUCCUAAUUGUAUUUAAAAUCCAUUAUUGUUUUGAAAUCCAAGGAACUACUGUCAAAUUAUUUGUGACACAUUAUUUGUCUAGUCAGAAAAUCCUCACCUCUUGUAUUCCACUUUCAAAAGUUCAGUGUACUCCAUUCUGAAAUCCCAAAAGACAGUGAAAACUCCUGGAUUUCUGAUGCUUGGGAGUAUUGGAAUUAGAUGCAAGCAGCUGGGUUUUCCCGGGAAUGUUAUUCUGGAGUAUUUGGGUAACACAAGCUCUGGCACAGGUGCUGGGGGUGAUGUGGCUACAGGAGCACUGUGAGGUGGACUCGGGGUGUCACUGCUCUUCCUGGAUGUCACCUUGGAGCAUCGUGGUCUGGGUAAAUCCAGCCUGGAAUCUGCCAGUGGCUUCAGCAGAGCUGGAAUUCCACCCCAGAGUGACACAGGCUGGUGACAUGGAGCCAUCACUCCAUGUCAAGUCACUGAUGUAGAGCUGAAACGAUCCUUGUCACAUAACUGAUCCCAUCAGGUUCUCAAAUUUCACUUGGGGUUUUUUAACCAAGUUUCCAUUCCCAUUGCAAAUAUAUGGAUAACAUGUUUAGGCAUUAUCCUUGAAAAAGUAAAGAAAUAAUUUCUUUUGGAGAUGGGUGAUCUGUAGAAGACAUUUGUGUAAUUUUGUAUUUUAAAUGUGAUUUAUAUUUAUAAAUAAAUUUGCAUAAAAUCGCCA